GCCGCUGUAGCUCAGCAGGAUAGAGCGCACCCCUCCUAAGGGUGAAGUCACAGGUUCAAAUCCUGUCAGCGGCGCCA
rnacentral:tRNA from 1 species